GGGGCAACAUCUCAGCCUCAGGACCGGAGACCGAAGCGCACGUUUGGACACGGGGCGGAUGAAAAGGUUCGCCAUCCGCACGGAGCAUCCCGCUCUCUGACGGAAACCAGAUCCUCCUGAUGUGGUUACAUUAGCGGGAAGAUGUCUCACUCACAGCCCCAUUAUGCAGCCGUGCCGCAGAUGAUGAGAGGGAGGGGGAGAUUAUCGAUCUGAUCCACGCCGGGACUCACCUGUCUGUCAAAGCAGGUGUGGACAGAGAAACUGGAGGCUGGAGAAGCGCCCUGUGGAUGUUUUUAUCUCCUGGAUGCAAAGGACGCUUCGACAAACCCUGAAAAGAAGCCUCAGUUUUUCCAGUUUGCUGCUCUGACGAAUGAAGGAGCCUGUUCCUGUCUUUGGUUAUCUAGCUGUAUGAGUGUAAACUCUCCAUCAUAAAGCUAGAUAACCGAAAGUAGGAAUGACCUCCAAGGCUUCAGACCCUUUAGCUCAUGUGAGAGGAAACCUGGGAAAAGGGAAGAAGCAUCACAUGAUGUGUCCAGGUAGGUCUUUAUUUGUAGUAUCGAUAAAUAAAUGAGUGAUUAUUUGUCUACGUGUGUGUUGAAAAGAAUAGUAUAUUUGUAUGUAUAAUUUUCUCUCUUUUUUUUGUCAAAAUAAAAAGUUGUGAUUGAAACCAAUUGGAAAUUAAAACCCUUUUCUCUUUCUUGAUUAUUGGAGGGUUACACAACAAACUAGCCGGAAAACUGCAACAGUUGAAAUUCCUUAAUGUCUCAACCUGAAUGUUUUAAGCAACCUAUUCCUGUCAAAACGUGUGUGUGUAUAUGUGUGUAUAUAUAUAUAUAUAUAUAUAUAUAUAUACAUAUACAUAUAUAUAGGUCAGCCUCCAUCGCUGUGAGGAAAUGCUCCAGGUUGUAUGUUUCUGACUCAUUCUGACCUCACUGCUAUCUUUAAAAUCAUUGUGCUGCAUUAGACCAAAAAUGAAUGUUUUUUGGUUCAUGAUGAUUAUUUUUAAUAUUAAAGCCUGAUGAGCAAAUUCAAAUGCUUCCUGCCUUGGGUUUCUCCCACGGUGAGAUCUUCCUCACUAGGGACUUUAGCUUCCCACUAAUUAUUCGAGUCACAUUUCUGGGGCCUCUCAAAGGCCAGUCUGUGAGUCACUGCAGAGCUGCCACUGAAAGCUGAACAAAAACUGACAAAGCUGGUAUUUUGAUGUGACAUUUUGAUCAUGUGAUUCAUCCCUGUGGUUUUCCCUCUCAGAAGGUUCACAGCGAUUUUACACUGCUAAUGGCUGAUAAAUUAUUCUAUUAAAAUCUGCAUGUCAUCAGUUCAAAUUAAUGUUGUGCUAAAUGGUUAUAAAGAAAAUAAAGAUACAUCACUGCAGUGUAUGGCUCCAAUGUGACAUAAUGUGAAAGAGCUCAAAGAAAAAAUACACGCAAGGCACUGAUGUCCUAUGAAAGAAAGAAAUUAUUAUAUUAUUGCUCAUGUCUUUCUUUGUUUUGUUGUUGUGUUUCUUUUUUUAAUCCAAAGACUGUUGGCUUCUUAACAAAACUUGUGUAAAUUUGUUUUAAAAAUAGAUUUAAGAUGCAGAUAAUUGUUAGGGAUAUAAAAAUAAAUCAGAAAUGACACUCGAAUGUUCCCUUCCUGAACACUUUUCAAACGAUUGAGUCUUUUCAAAUCUAUUUUAAAUUGCACUGCUUACUUUUUACAUCUCAUUAACAACAAUUGUAAAUGUAUUUUUGAAACACAAAACAAGAAUAACUGAAAUAAAGGGAGAACAAAAAAAGCAAUAUUGUUACUUAUACAGUUCUUGUUCUGGUAAAUUAACUGUCUUUGCUAUUUCAAGUUAUUUUGUUUUGCUUGUUUUUUUAGUCAUUUAUUUGAAAUUUUAUUGGAAGAAGAAUGGAGGUGAAAAGAAAAAAUGUAUUUUUUAUUUUACAUAAUCUUUUUGAAAGUUGCAAAGAAAGGAAACAUGUCUACUGCAGAAACUGCUUUUAUUAAAAAUACAUAACAAAUUUAACAAUUUUUAAAAAUGGAUUUCUUUAAUUGUCCCGCAUUUAAAUUUCCACUGAUCAGAUCUUAAAAACUUCUUACUCUGUUUUUCUUUAAUCACAAAUGUCUAGUUUUGACAGAUUUUUUUCAUAUUCGUAUUUGUUUCUUUCUUUCUUUCUUUUUUUUUUUCUUGUGAAUAAAUGUGAGGAUAAAAAUAAAACAUACAGCGCGGGAAAGCGUUUCUAACCCUAAAAGCCUGAGCUCAGGUCAAUAAAGUACGGCACGAUCCUGCAAAGUGAGUGCUGUAAACAAAGCAGUGUUCUUCAUCAUUCUGCGUUGGAAACUGUAAACUGGAGAUACUGGAGCAGUCUGGAGGCGGAGGUCCUGGCCGCGGCGCGCAGGACUGUUUCAGCCCGUUUAUCUGACGCAGAUUUGUGGGUUUCUCCUGCAGAUCCCAUCACGAGGGACAAAACGCUGCCAAGAAAACCCCAAAAAACCCAGGACUGCCUGACAACGGUGUAAAAUAAAGGAAACAAACUCCAGCCGAUAAUGAAAAGGAGGCAGACAAGCUGGGCUCAUUAACAUAAUUGCAUAGAAACUGGGAGCAGGCCUGUUUAAAGGCGCAGCGGCGGCGGCUCGCUGCAUCACCAAUCACACAGCUUCAUGCUUUAAAGCUUUACACUCAAAUUCACCGCGAAGCCUUUUUUUUUUUGUUGUUGUUGUUUUAGUCUUCCUACAAUGACUUUACUUUUUUGUUUCUAUCACGAUUUAAAUAAAGCUCGUUUUAGCUGCUUGGAAACGUAAUGGGGGGACUGUUCCUUUAUUAGGAAGCAGGCUCUAAUUAGCCAUGCAGCCUGGGGGAAGGCUUACAGCGAAGCUGCUAAUGAGCGAUGCACACAUACCUGCCUCCAAAUGAAGUAUGUAAUUUCUUAACGUGUAGAUUUCUGUCAUCAAGAUUUAUUCUAACGCCAUGUUUGUAAUUGUUUGUAGAUUUAUCAAAUCCUAAACCACUGGGUUUAAAAGAGAAGAAAACGGCCUAUAAACGCCUUACAUGCACCUGCAGCUUUGGCUGAGUCUGUGCUCUGGGUCGGUGUUUGGUGCUGCAGCUGCAGGAGACCUGUUGGCCUGUUGGUAAACACACUGUCCAGGGCCCACAUUAUAAUUCUGAUCCUGGCUUCUCGCCACAAUGGCUGCUUUUGUGAAUGGAGCACUUGACAAAGCUAAAACAGCGAUGAGCCUCAACCCAGCCAUGGUUCAGAAUGAGAGGAUCAGCACAUCUUCCACCAACACGCUGGGAUCUGACGGCUCGUCUGAAGGUGACGAACACAUGGAGCCGAACUCAGACUGAACAGUUCAAACAGCCAGUAAUAUAAAGACGCAAAAAUGAAGCGAAGCUUGUAAAGUUAGUUAUGUAUAAUUUUUCAUGUGAAAUGUGAUAAUGCAGGUUUAUUGCUGCAAAAUAUAUAUUUUUAAACUAUUAGAUUAGCCUGGACGACUUAAAAUCAUGUUCGAUAGAAGAAAAUAUGUGUCUUCAGGCUCAACUUAGAUAACUUUUAUAUUUAAAUGGUGUUAAUAGACGUGAUAUCCUUUUUUUUUUUUCAAAACAAAAUGCUGAAAAGUGGAUUGUUUAUAAUGUAAUGCAAGCUGUCCAGUUAUUCAUGUCUUCAAUAAAACAGACUAAAACCAA